GGAGAGAUGGCCGAGCGGCUGAAGGCGCGCCCCUGCUAAGGGCACAUGGGUUAAGCCCUAUCGAAGGUCUCUCUCCG
rnacentral:tRNA from 1 species